rnacentral:rRNA from 1 species
GACAAGAAAUAACAAUACAGGGCUUAAUGUCUUGUAAUUGGAAUGAUGGGAAUUUAAACCUCUUCCAGAGUAUCAAUUGGAGGGCAAGUCUGGUGCCAGCAGCCGCGGUAAUUCCAGCUCCAAUAGCGUAUAUUAAAAUUGUUGCAGUUAAAAAGCUCGUAGUUGAAUUUCUGCUGCAUUGCAUUUGCUCCUUGACGAGUGUCUGUAUUGCGGCUUAUUUCGGAUUAUGCUUGCAUUUUCCGGAUGUAUACUUUGAGAAAAUUAGAGUGCUCAAAGCAGGCUUUUGCCUUGAAUAGUUUAGCAUGGAAUAAUAAAGUAGGACUUUGGUUCUAUUUUGUUGGUUUUAGGUACCAAAGUAAUGGUUAAUAGGAACAGUUGGGGGCAUUCGUAUUUAACUGUCAGAGGUGAAAUUCUUAG